ensembl:snRNA U6 U6 spliceosomal RNA
GUGCUCAGUUCAGCAGCACAGAUACUAGAAUAGGAAUGAUACAGAGAAGAUUAGCAUGGCCCCUGUUCAAGGAUGACACGCAAAUUCGUGAAGCAGUUUAUAUUUUU